CUGUGUGCUGGAUUCGCCCUUAGAGUUUGAUCCUGGCUCAGGACGAACGCUGGCGGCGUGCUUAACACAUGCAAGUCGAACGAUGAACCACUUCGGUGGGGAUUAGUGGCGAACGGGUGAGUAACACGUGGGCAAUCUGCCCUUCACUCUGGGACAAGCCCUGGAAACGGGGUCUAAUACCGGAUACGACACUCUCGGGCAUCCGAUGAGUGUGGAAAGCUCCGGCGGUGAAGGAUGAGCCCGCGGCCUAUCAGCUUGUUGGUGAGGUAACGGCUCACCAAGGCGACGACGGGUAGCCGGCCUGAGAGGGCGACCGGCCACACUGGGACUGAGACACGGCCCAGACUCCUACGGGAGGCAGCAGUGGGGAAUAUUGCACAAUGGGCGAAAGCCUGAUGCAGCGACGCCGCGUGAGGGAUGACGGCCUUCGGGUUGUAAACCUCUUUCAGCAGGGAAGAAGCGAAAGUGACGGUACCUGCAGAAGAAGCGCCGGCUAACUACGUGCCAGCAGCCGCGGUAAUACGUAGGGCGCGAGCGUUGUCCGGAAUUAUUGGGCGUAAAGAGCUCGUAGGCGGUCUGUCGCGUCGGAUGUGAAAGCCCGGGGCUUAACCCCGGGUCUGCAUUCGAUACGGGCAGACUAGAGUGUGGUAGGGGAGAUCGGAAUUCCUGGUGUAGCGGUGAAAUGCGCAGAUAUCAGGAGGAACACCGGUGGCGAAGGCGGAUCCCUGGGCCAUUACUGACGCUGAGGAGCGAAAGCGUGGGGAGCGAACAGGAUUAGAUACCCUGGUAGUCCACGCCGUAAACGGUGGGAACUAGGUGUUGGCGACAUUCCACGUCGUCGGUGCCGCAGCUAACGCAUUAAGUUCCCCGCCUGGGGAGUACGGCCGCAAGGCUAAAACUCAAAGGAAUUGACGGA
rnacentral:rRNA from 1 species